rnacentral:lncRNA from 1 species
CAUUACAAGAAGGUGAUCAUCCAACUAGAUCAGGAAGCAUUUCCCUUUUCAAUGUCGAUUUGGGAAAAGUCGAUUUGCUUUACAGAUUGAAGACAGCUGGUAUCUUUGAUAUGAAAUGGAACCCAGUGAACACAACAACAACAACAGCAACACGUCCAUUGCUUGCUCAAGCCGAUGCUGAUGGUUUCCUGAAGAUUCAUCACUUACAAAGCUCCAUUAAUGGUACGUUAAAUUGAUAUAAUCAAAUGCUAAAUGCUAUAUGUAAUUGAUGAAUAAUUGAUAUGUAGGGAAUGAUUUGAAAGAGGUAAGUAGCGAAAAACUUAGCUCCUGUAUGUGUCUAUGCUUGGAUUGGAACCCUUCAGCCACAUCGAUCUCAGUAGGCCAUUCAGAUGGAUCGAUCUCACUAACUGCAUUUCAAGAAACCAAAACAAUCACAUUACAACAAUGGAAAGCACAUGAUUAUGAAGUCUGGGCUACAACUUUCGAUCCAGACCAACCAAAUUUGGUCUAUACCGGUUCAGACGAUUGCAAAUUCAAGGGCUGGGAUUUACGAAACAGUCCUUCCUCCACAACAUUUCAAAAUUCAAAAUCCCAUCAAAUGGGUGUUUGUUGUAUUUCAAAAUCCCCCCAUAACCCCUACACUCUAUUCACUGGAAGCUAUGAUGAACAAUUAAGAAUAUGGGAUGUGAGGUCACUUACAAGGCCUGUGAUUGAGGCAUCGAUUGGUUUAGGAGGUGGAGUUUGGAGAAUUAAGAAUCAUUCUGUUGUUCCUGGAUUAAUCCUUGCAGCUUGUAUGCACAAUGGGUUUGCUAUUGUUAAAGUCAACGGGAGUCAAGAAGUCAAAGUAG